rnacentral:rRNA from 1 species
UACGGGGGGGGCAAGCGUUGUUCGGAAUUACUGGGCGUGAAGGGCUCGUAGGCGGCCAACUAAGUCGGAUGUGAAAUCCCCAGGCUUAACCUGGGAACUGCAUCCGAUACUGGAUGGCUUGAAUCCGGGAGAGGGAUGCGGAAUUCCAGGUGUAGCGGUGAAAUGCGUAGAUAUCGAGAGGAACACCUGCGGCGAAGGCGGGUUGCUGGGCUGACACUGACGCUGAGGCGCGAAAGCUAGGGGAGCGAACGGG